GGGGAUUUAGCUUAGUGGCAUAAGCACCUGCCUUGCAAGCAGGCAGUCCUGAGUUCGAUCCCCAGAACCG
rnacentral:tRNA from 1 species